GCGGCGUGCCUAAUACAUGCAAGUCGAGCGAACGGACGAGAAGCUUGCUUCUCUGAUGUUAGCGGCGGACGGGUGAGUAACACGUGGAUAACCUACCUAUAAGACUGGGAUAACUUCGGGAAACCGGAGCUAAUACCGGAUAAUAUUUUGAACCGCAUGGUUCAAAAGUGAAAGACGGUCUUGCUGUCACUUAUAGAUGGAUCCGCGCUGCAUUAGCUAGUUGGUAAGGUAACGGCUUACCAAGGCAACGAUGCAUAGCCGACCUGAGAGGGUGAUCGGCCACACUGGAACUGAGACACGGUCCAGACUCCUACGGGAGGCAGCAGUAGGGAAUCUUCCGCAAUGGGCGAAAGCCUGACGGAGCAACGCCGCGUGAGUGAUGAAGGUCUUCGGAUCGUAAAACUCUGUUAUUAGGGAAGAACAUAUGUGUAAGUAACUGUGCACAUCUUGACGGUACCUAAUCAGAAAGCCACGGCUAACUACGUGCCAGCAGCCGCGGUAAUACGUAGGUGGCAAGCGUUAUCCGGAAUUAUUGGGCGUAAAGCGCGCGUAGGCGGUUUUUUAAGUCUGAUGUGAAAGCCCACGGCUCAACCGUGGAGGGUCAUUGGAAACUGGAAAACUUGAGUGCAGAAGAGGAAAGUGGAAUUCCAUGUGUAGCGGUGAAAUGCGCAGAGAUAUGGAGGAACACCAGUGGCGAAGGCGACUUUCUGGUCUGUAACUGACGCUGAUGUGCGAAAGCGUGGGGAUCAAACAGGAUUAGAUACCCUGGUAGUCCACGCCGUAAACGAUGAGUGCUAAGUGUUAGGGGGUUUCCGCCCCUUAGUGCUGCAGCUAACGCAUUAAGCACUCCGCCUGGGGAGUACGACCGCAAGGUUGAAACUCAAAGGAAUUGACGGGGACCCGCACAAGCGGUGGAGCAUGUGGUUUAAUUCGAAGCAACGCGAAGAACCUUACCAAAUCUUGACAUCCUUUGACAACUCUAGAGAUAGAGCCUUCCCCUUCGGGGGACAAAGUGACAGGUGGUGCAUGGUUGUCGUCAGCUCGUGUCGUGAGAUGUUGGGUUAAGUCCCGCAACGAGCGCAACCCUUAAGCUUAGUUGCCAUCAUUAAGUUGGGCACUCUAAGUUGACUGCCGUUGACAAACCGGAGGAAGGUGGGGAUGACGUCAAAUCAUCAUGCCCCUUAUGAUUUGGGC
rnacentral:rRNA from 1 species